UUCUCACCUAAAAAAGCUCUCGCAUCUCUGUCUCUCACCAUCGCCGCUCAGUUCCGUCCAUCGCUCAGUCUUCUCCGUCUGCGCCUCUCCACCCGUGGCUUGUCAUCGACAUAAUAUACGGAAGAUAUUUCCUCUCUUUCUCUCCCUCUUGGAUCAGAAGCCAAAUGCUUCGUUUACUCGCAAAGCGUCAGUGAACUACACAAAGACACCUUCUCGUGAAUCUUUGUAAAACAAGAGGUAAAAUAGCUCACUUCUUGACUUCCGCGGAUCAAAUUUCUGUUGUCCAGCAACACAAACAGAAGACAGAAGAGAGGGAAAGAUGAAGAACAAAAGCAGCUAAUUAAAGAAUGUUGUACACAGCCAGAAGAAACUGAGUGAAUCCCCCUCUUCUACCUCAGUGCCUCUGAUGUUGAUAAUUUAAACAAUCCAUUGGCUGUAGACAACAAUCCUUAGCUAAAGCCUUGUAACCCAGCUGUUGGUGGGCUUGCAAAGUCCCAGUUCGUACCUGAAGUGGACGCAUUAGGUGGUGAAAUUGGAAAGGUAGCUGACAGCUAUUUCAUAAAGAGACAGCUGAAUCAAUCAAAGGCUUGACUAAGAAGGACACUAGAAACACUGAUGAUUGAACAGGCUGCUUCCAUACUGCAAAUAUGUCCUGGGAACUUGUGUCUUUUCUGUUUAUACAUUUAGAAUUAAGAGACUAAUAGAAAUGCCAUAUUUUGACUUGUUUUAAAUUUUCAACUGUAUAUCGAUGAAUGAAUUCUCUUCAAGCAUAUGAAAUGUGUAUUUUAUGUUUUUCAGCAAA